GUAUUGCUGAGGAGUCUCAAACUAGAAUGAAACAGCUGUCCAAUAC
rnacentral:hammerhead_ribozyme from 1 species